AACAAUAUAGUUUAAUUAAAAAAUAUUGGGUUUGCGUCUCGAAGAUGGAUACUAUUUUCUUUUGUUA
rnacentral:tRNA from 1 species